rnacentral:tRNA from 4 species
GUCUCUGUGGCUCAGUUGGUAGAGCGUUGGUCUCAUAAUCCAAAGGUCGCAAGUUCGAGCCUUGCCAGGGACA